GGGUGGAUCUCAGGAGGUGGAGGGAUAGUCUUAGAUGAGUUGAUGGGUGGAAAGGGCAGCUUCAGGGACAAGGAGUAAGGUUGGUCUGUGAGUUUUUUUUUUUGUCUGUUUUGUGAUAGAAGCGAUUCUGUUUGUAGUUUUUAUUUCUCUCAUUUAAAUAUCUCACAGAUGAGGUUUUCUGUAGAUCCACAUGUUGCAGGACUGAAGCCCCCGUGCUCUCUUUAGAGUCAGUUUCCUUGAUUACCAGCACCAUGUGAGUAAAAAUCAAGUGUCGAACCAGUUGUUAGAUGUCUUCUCUCAGUUUUACGACCAGCUCAAGACGCUCUGGCAGAGCCCGACACCUCAGCUUCCCCCUUGCUCUCGCCAGGUGAGGGGGAAGCUGAGGUGUGAUACAGGAAAGAGUCUUGAUAGGCUAGGCUUCCUUCCUCAUGACCAUUUGGUUUUGACAUAGCAGCAGUCAGAUUUAUCAAGGCAGUCACCGCUAGAUAGACGGCAAUUGUGUAGGAGAGGCUGCCUGAACCCGCUCGUGGCCUCAAGCUCAACUCAAGAAAACCACAAGAGGAGACACGACAGAGUUCAACAAAGGUAAGGGCUGAAGAGGACAUGACGGCCUGACUGCUUGCAGAUGAUGUCCACCUUCUAUUUCCUAUCUUUCUCCCUCUCUCGUUUCCCUCUUUUUCUAUGCCCUCUACCCCCUCCUCCUCACUGCCUGCCUCCUCCUCCUCUCUCUCUCUCUCCCUCUCUUUCUCGCUCUGCCUCUUGCAGCUGAAGCAACACGCCUUGCUGUGGCUGGUCAAACGGAACCAAGUCAGGUGUUUCUAGUGAGGUUUGGUCCCCUUCAACCAGCUACUGCGUCGUGAAUUCAGUCAGCAUACACCGGCGUGGAAUCAAAGACACAGUGGUGGCGUUUGCGAGCAUAUACUCCGGAGGUGGUAGCCAACAGUAGAUUGUUUCUUUCAUUUAGCGGCGCGGUAGUGGUUGUUUCCUGUGUGGAAAUGUGUGAUCUGAAAAAGCAAAUAAAAGAUUACUGACAACA